CGGUAAGGCUGGAGCUCCCCCCGGAUGGGAGACGGCCGAUCGCUAGGCAUUUCUAGCAAGAAUCGUGACUGCAGGAUGAAUAAGAGAUACUUACAGAAAGCAACAAAAGGAAAACUGCUAAUAAUAAUAGUUGUUGUAACUCUGUGGGGGAAAUUAGCAUCUGGGGCAAAUCAUCAUAAAGCUCACCAUGUUAAAACUGGGACCUGUGAAGUGGUGGCGCUUCACAGAUGCUGCAAUAAGAAUAAGAUAGAAGAAAGAUCACAGACAGUGAAGUGUUCCUGCUUCCCUGGGCAGGUAGCAGGUACCACCCGGGCAGCUCCUUCUUGUGUUGAUGCUUCAAUAGUGGAGCAGAAAUGGUGGUGCCACAUGCAACCAUGUCUUGAAGGGGAGGAAUGUAAAGUUCUUCCAGAUCGUAAGGGAUGGAGCUGUUCCUCUGGGAAUAAAGUGAAAACAACUAGGGCAAACGUGUAAAACUCCUCAAGUCCGAAUGGAGAAGUAGAGAAAAGAGGUUUCUGCUGUGCCUGAUGACAGUUUUUUUUCCCCACACAUUCCCAAAAAUAUUCUGGCUCCAUGUUGGAGUACUAGUUGUGGUGAAUCCUAGUCUUGGUUCGAUUCUAAGGAAGGGCCAGAACGUUCGUUGAGGAAUAAAGAGUCAAACCACUCCAGAAAAUGUGUUCCAGCCCCGGUUUAUUAUUCACAAAGCAGCAGGUUACCCGAUAGCUAAAGACAAAUCAAGCCAGUCUCAAGACUGAUAACAUUAAAUAAAACACAAAGGAAUUUCAUUCCUCCAGUCAAUCCGUGAAGUGAAAUUUUAUACUACUUAGGUGUAUCCUUCAGAAUCAAUUGUUUCAAUGAGAACCUGGCUUGUAAUCAGCAACAGCCUUGAGAUCAAAACGACUGGAAAGUUAUUUUGAACUUAUGUGUCACAAAUAUUUCAACGGAUUGAACUGUGUACACUUGUAAAAUUGCACUUGCUGAGGAAUUUGCAGCUGUAAUCACAAGCUAAUAUUCUAAAGGUGCAGAAAACCAGCAAACUUUUGGGCUCUCCGUUGCAGAUCAGUGGUUUUUCAUCUUGAAGAAGUCAACCUCUGAAAUGUAUUGGAUCCUUCAUUCUAAAAUGAUCUUUUGUCCACUGUUCAGAUUGCUGGUGGGACUGCACACUGCUUUAAUUAAAUUUCUGUUGCAGAAAUUGUCCUCUGGC